CAUCUACGGAGAGUUUGAUCCUGGCUCAGGACGAACGCUGGCGGCGUGCUUAACACAUGCAAGUCGAACGGUGAACCUCUUCGGAGGGAAUCAGUGGCGAACGGGUGAGUAACACGUGGGCAACCUGCCCCCGGCUCUGGGAUAACUCCAAGAAAUUGGGGCUAAUACCGGAUGGUCACCGCAUCCCGCAUG
rnacentral:rRNA from 1 species